rnacentral:rRNA from 1 species
AUUGAACGCUGGCGGCAUGCUUUACACAUGCAAGUCGAGCGGUAACAGGCCUUCGGGUGCUGACGAGUGGCGAACGGGUGAGUAAUGCAUCGGAACGUACCCAGAGGUGGGGGAUAACGCAGCUAAAGCUGUGCUAAUACCGCAUGUGAUCUGAGGAUGAAAGCGGGGGACCGAGCAGCAAUGUUUGGCCUCGCGCCUUUGGAGCGGCCGAUGUCGGAUUAGCUAGUUGGGGGGGUAAAGGCCUACCAAGGCGACGAUCCGUAGCUGGUCUGAGAGGACGACCGGCCACACUGGGACUGAGACACGGCCCAGACUCCUACGGGAGGCAGCAGUGGGGAAUUUUGGACAAUGGGCGCAAGCCUGAUCCAGCAAUGCCGCGUGCGGGAAGAAGGCCUUCGGGUUGUAAACCGCUUUUGGCAGGAACGAAACGGUGUCCGCUAAUACCGGGCGCUAAUGACGGUACCUGCAGAAUAAGCACCGGCUAACUACGUG